rnacentral:rRNA from 1 species
AUUGAACGCUGGCGGCAUGCUUUACACAUGCAAGUCGAACGGUAACAGCACUUCGGUGGCUGACGAGUGGCGAACGGGUGCGUAAUACAUCGGAACGUGCCUAGUAGUGGGGAUAACUACUCGAAAGAGUAGCUAAUACCGCAUGAGAUCUAAGGAUGAAAGCAGGGGACCUUCGGGCCUUGCGCUACUAGAGCGGCUGAUGGCAGAUUAGGUAGUUGGUGGGAUAAAAGCUUACCAAGCCGACGAUCUGUAGCUGGUCUGAGAGGACGACCAGCCACACUGGGACUGAGACACGGCCCAGACUCCUACGGGAGGCAGCAGUGGGGAAUUUUGGACAAUGGGCGCAAGCCUGAUCCAGCAAUGCCGCGUGCAGGAUGAAGGCCUUCGGGUUGUAAACUGCUUUUGUACGGAACGAAAAGCCCUCUUCUAAUACAGGAGGGUCAUGACGGUACCGUAAGAAUAAGCACCGGCUAACUACGUG